GACGAACGCUGGCGGCGUGCUUAACACAUGCAAGUCGAACGGAAAGGCCCCUUUGGGGGUACUCGCGUGGCGAAAGGGUGAGUAACACGUGAGUAACCUGCCCUUGAAUUCGGGAUAACUUCAGGAAACUGGGGCUAAUACCGGAUAGGAAUCCUUGCUGCAUGGUGGGGGUUGGAAAGCUUCGGCGGUUUUGGAUGGACUCGCGGCUUAUCAGCUUGUUGGUGGGGUAGUGGCUUACCAAGGCUUUGACGGGUAGCCGGCCUGAGAGGGCGACCGGCCACACUGGGUCUGACAGACGGCCCCGGCGCCUACGGGUGGAAGCAGUGGGGAAUCUUGCACAAGGGGUGCAAGCCGGAUGCAGCAACGCCGCGGGCUGGAUGACGGCCUUCGGGGUGAAAACCGCGUUCAGCAGGGGCGAAGCGUGUGGUGACGGUACCUGCAGAAGAAGCACCGGCUAACUACGUG
rnacentral:rRNA from 1 species